CUUGGUUAAUCUUGCUAGUAGUCAUAUGCUUAUCUCAAAGAUUAAGCCAUGCAUGUAUUAGUAUGAACUAAUUUAGACUAUGAAAUUAUGAAUGGCUCAUUAAAUUGAUUAGAGUUUGUUUGAUGGUAUCUACUACUCGAAUAACCAUAGUAAUUCUAAAGCUAAUACAUGUAACAAACUCUAACUUCUAAAAAGGAUGCAUUUAUUAGAGAAACUAUCAACAUAGGCUUUACCAGUUACUUUAAUGAUUCAUGAUAAGCUAACGGAUCUCAUAGCUUUUGUAUUGGUGACGCAUUAUUCAAAUUUUUACCCUAUCAAGUUUCGAUGGUAGGAUACUAGGCUGCCACGAUAGUGAUGAGUGAUAGAGAAUUAAGGUUUGAUUCUGGAGAGGGAGCUUGAAAAAUGGCUACCACAUCCAAGGAAUGCAGCAAGCACAUAAAUUACCCAAUCCUAAUAUGAAGAGGUAAUGACAAUAAAUAACAAUAUCGAGCUUUAUGAGUUUGGUAAUUUGAAUGAGUACAAUCUAAAUCCCUUAACGAGGAUUCAUUGAAGGACAAGUCUAGUGCUAGAAGCCAUGGUAAUUCUAGCUCUAAUAGCAUAUAUUUAAGUUGUUGUAGUUAAAAAGCUCAUAGUUAGAAUUAGGGUUGUGUCAUUUGGUCCAUCUCACCGUGAGCAUUGGUCUACUUUUCCUCUUAGCCUUAACUGGCUGGGUCAUUCCUUUGGUGCUGUUACUUUGAAGAAAUUAGAGUGCUGAAAGUAGGUCUAUGCUUGUACACAUUAACAUGGGAUAGCAUCAUAAGAUUUCAAUCCUAUUGUGUAGGCCUUCAAGAUUGAAGUAAUGAUUAAUAGGGGCAAUCAGAGGCAUUCACAUUUCAUUGUCAAAGGUGAAAUUCUUGGAUUUAUGAAAGAUGAACAACUACGAAAGCAUUUGCCAAUGAUGUUUUCAUUAAUCAAGAACCAAAGUUAGGGGCUUAAAGAUAAUCAAAUAGCAUCAUAGUCUCAACCAUAAAUGAUGUCGAUCAGGGAUCAAUAGAUAUUACUUUUAGGACUCUAUUGGCACCUUAUGAGAAAUCAAAAUCUUUAGGUUCUAAAGGAAGUACGGUCACAAGGCGAAAACUUAAAGGAAUUUUUGAAAGAACACCACUAGGAGUGAAGCCUAUAGUUAAAAAGCUCAUAGUUAGAACUAGAAUUGGGUUAUUCAGUCUGCUUCACGAUGAGCAAUGGUCUACUUGUCUCUAUUUUUGGUGAUACACUCUUAGCCUUAACUGGUUGGGUUGUUCCUCUAACGUUGUUUUUUUUGAAGAAAUUAGAGUGCUAAAAGUAGGCUUACGCUUGUAUAUAUUAGCAUGGGAUAACAUAAUAGGAUUUUGAUCCUAUUGUGCUAGCUUUUAGGAUCAGAGAAAUGAUUAAUAAGGAUAGCCAAGGGCAUUCAUAUUUCAUAGUUAGAGGUGAAAUUCUUGGAUUUAUGAAAGACAAACAACUAUGAAAGCAUUUCCUAAGGAUGUUUUCAAUAAUCAAGAAUAAAAGUUGGGUUCUAAAAAAUGAUCAGAUAUCAUCCUAGUCUCAACAAUAGAUAAUCUAACCAGGGAUUGAUAAAUGUUACUUUUAAGUCUCUACUAACACCUUAUGAGAAAUCAAAGUCAUUGGGUUCCAAGUGAAAGUAUGGUCGUAAGGCUAAAACUUAAAAGAAUUAAUGGCAA
rnacentral:rRNA from 1 species